CGUCAAAAAUGUAACAUCGUCCGAUCCCUAGUCGGCAUAGUUUAUGGUUAAGACUACGACGGUAUCUGAUCGUCUUCGAUCCCCUAACUUUCGUUCCUGAUUAAUGAAAACAUCCUUGGCAAAUGCUUUCGCAGUAGUUAGUCUUCAAUAAAUCCAAGAAUUUCACCUCUGACAAUUGAAUACUGAUGCCCCCGACUGUCCCUAUUAAUCAUUACGGCGGUCCUAGAAACCAACAAAAUAGAACCACACGUCCUAUUCUAUUAUUCCAUGCUAAUGUAUUCGAGCAUAGGCCUGCCUUGAGCACUCUAAUUUUUUCAAAGUAAAAGUCCUGUUUCCCCGCCACACCCAGUGAAGGGCAUGGGGUUCCGCAGAGGGAAAGGCCCGGCCGGACCAGUGCACGCGGUGAGGCGGACCGGCCAGCCAGGCCCAAGGUUCAACUACGAGCUUUUUAACCACAACAACUUUAAUAUACGCUAUUGGAGCUGGAAUUACCGCGGCUGCUGGCACCAGACUUGCCCUCCAAUUGUUCCUCGUUAAGGGAUUUAAAUUGUACUCAUUCCGAUUACAAGACCCAAAAGAGCCCUGUAUCAGUAUUUAUUGUCACUACCUCCCCGUGUCGGGAUUGGGUAAUUUGCGCGCCUGCUGCCUUCCUUGGAUGUAGUAGCCGUUUCUCAGGCUCCUUCU
rnacentral:rRNA from 1 species